rnacentral:rRNA from 1 species
UACAGGGGGGUGCAAACGUUGCUCGGAAUCAUUGGGCGUAAAGCGCACGUAGGCGGUUCGUUAUGUCGGAUGUGAAAGCCCUUGGCUUAACCGAGGAAGUGCAUCCGAAACUGGCGAGCUAGAGUACGAAAGAGGAUCGCGGAAUUCCCGGUGUAGAGGUGAAAAUUCGUAGAUAUCGGGGAGGAACACCGGUGGCGAAGGCGGCGAUCUGGGUCGAUACUGACGCUGAGGUGCGAAAGCGUGGGGAGCAAACAGG